rnacentral:rRNA from 1 species
GGGAUAUUGGUCAAUGGGCGCAAGCCUGAACCAGCGACGCCGCGUGGGUGAAGAAGGUCUUCGGAUCGUAAAGCCCUUUUCCCACUGAAGAGGAAGGACGGUAGGUGGGGAAGAAGUCUCGGCUAACUACGUGCCAGCAGCCGCGGUAAAACGUAGGAGACAAGCGUUAUCCGGAGUUACUGGGCGUAAAGGGCGUGCAGGUGGCGUCUUAAGUCUGUUGUGAAAGCGCCUGGCUUAACCGGGCGAGGCCAAUGGAGACUGAGAGGCUGGAGGACGGCGGAGGGGUGUGGAAUUCCGGGUGUAGUGGUGAAAUGCGUAGAGAUCCGGAGGAACACCAGAGGCGAAGGCGGCGCUCUAAGCCGUACCUGACACUGAGACGCGACAGCACGGGGAGCAAACG